UACAUUAGCUAGAAUUAAAUCUAACUUCUACAGAAUCAAAGUUAAUUUGAUAAUUGCCAUGUUACUUUGGGUGGUUUUGAAAGAAUUCAAAAGUCGCGCUACAUUCAAAUAAUGUGAUUUAAAUUGCACAGGGGCACUAUUGGGUUCUAAUGGCAAAUCCAAUAUCGUGUUGUAAUUGAUGGCAUUUUCUUUGAAUUAAUUAGUUACUGAUAGAGUAUUUAUCCUGUAUAGUAAGCAGAAAUAUGAUCUGUUUAGAAAUUUGAGAAUGUAGCAGAUGUGAUCUCUAUCUUGCAUAAUACCGAUAUUAGCUAUUUGGUAUUUUGAUUGAAACACAUACACAAAAAUUAAAUAGUUUCUACGUUUUAUAAUCUUUCUAUCAGUAAAAAAUCUACUGGAAAGCGAUCAUUCAAAGAAGAUUAUCUCCUUAAGAUGGGAGUUUACGACUUAAUGAGAAGGAAGUUGCUCAUUUUCAUGUUAAAAUAUAAUUACAUUUACUUUUGCAAUCAGUGUACUUUCCAUUUCAUAAUUCAUAUAAUUGAAGCAGUUAAUGUACCGCCAUUGUGUUAAGCAGUUCGUGUUCGAUUAUCAUAUUGAAUAACAAUGAUUCUUAUUUAGGAUUCCACGCCGCUGCGGACUUAAUGAAGCUCCGCACUUAAUGGCGUGGCUUUCGCUAAAAAUUAGUGUCAGCGGUCAUUCACCUGGAUUGAAGAAAUGUUAAUGCUGUCCCGGAAGAGAUAAUUCAAUUAUAAACUAAAUAACUAAGAAACUUCGUGUACAAAACGAUCCUCGACCGUAGAAGAGGAAAUUUUAAUGUACAAUCGCUCACAAAAGUCUUUCAAUUUUUACCAUAGAAUACAUGUAUGUAUGUAUUGUACGUAUUACAUAAUUGAUAUUACAUUUUGAAAUUUCAUUAGGACUGUAAUGAAGCACGACAGCCAUGAUUUUAUUGGCAAAAUUGGAAAUCAAUCUGAAGAUGUGUGAAAUUUCAAGCUUACGAUUAAACGGCCCUACGCUUUCGUUGAGGAUUCUCCGGAAGCAAGGUGUUAAACGGGCUCGACAUACCGGAUGAGACUUUCGACAGAACGUUUUUUUAUCUAUUGCGCAAAAAUUUUAUUGCUAUCCUGUCACGAAGAGAUUAAGAAAUUUUACGAAUUAAUUCUACGAAUCUACUAAUUAUGAGGAUGUUCAUGGAAAUCCAUAUCUUUAUGAACACAAUAAAGAAAUGAAACCUUA